ensembl:snoRNA LOC120102647 small nucleolar RNA SNORA48
ACCCCCUGGCAAUGGGCAAAGAGACACAUUGUUAGUGGUGUUGUUCUUAUACCAGCCAGAGGCAGAGCAGAGAGAAGUCCUUUGUUCAUCCUAGCUUGAUGCUUGGCUUUGUGGCCAAGCUUGUUUUAUGUCUAGGACUCAUAA